GGGCCCGCACAAGCGGUGGAGCAUGUGGUUUAAUUCGAUGAUACGCGAGGAACCUUACCAGGGCUUAAAUGUAGUGGGACAGGUCUAGAGAUAGACCCUUCUUCGGACUCAUUACAAGGUGCUGCAUGGUUGUCGUCAGCUCGUGCCGUGAGGUGUCAGGUUAAGUCCUAUAACGAGCGCAACCCCUAUCGUUAGUUGCCAGCGAGUAAUGUCGGGAACUCUAACGAAACUGCCAGUGCAAACUGUGAGGAAGGUGGGGAUGACGUCAAAUCAUCACGGCCCUUACGUCCUGGCUACACACGUGCUACAAUGGCUGGUACAGAGGGCUGCGAACCCGCGAGGGCAAGCG
rnacentral:rRNA from 1 species